UACGGAGGGUGCGAGCGUUGUCCGGAAUCACUGGGCGUAAAGGGCGCGUAGGCGGCUGGGGAAGUCGGCGGUGAAAGCCCGGAGCUCAACUCCGGGUCGGCCGUCGAGACUCCUCGGCUCGAGCUCACUAGAGGCAGAUGGAAUUCCAGGUGUAGCGGUGAAAUGCGUAGAUAUCUGGAGGAACACCGGUGGCGAAGGCGGCAUCCUGGACCAACACUGACACUGAGGAGCGAAAGCCAGGGGAGCAAACGGG
rnacentral:rRNA from 1 species